rnacentral:rRNA from 1 species
GGCGSGGCCUACCUGCAAGUCGAGCGAUGAAGCUUCUUCGGAAGUGGAUUAGCGGCGGACGGGUGAGUAACACGUGGGUAACCUGCCCUAAAGAGUGGGAUAGCCCUCCGAAAGGAGGAAUAAUACCACAUAACAUUAAGAUAUCGCAUGGUAUUUUAAUCAAAGAAGUAAUUCGCUUUAGGAUGGACCCGCGGCGCAUUAGCUAGUUGGUAGAGUAACAGCCUACCAAGGCAACGAUGCGUAGCCGACCUGAGAGGGUGAUCGGCCACAUUGGGACUGAGAUACGGCCCAGACUCCUACGGGAGGCAGCAGUGGGGAAUAUUGCGCAAUGGGGGAAACCCUGACGCAGCAACGCCGCGUGAGUGAUGAAGGUCUUCGGAUUGUAAAGCUCUGUCUUUUGGGACGAUAAUGACGGUACCAAAAGAGGAAGCCACGGCUAACUACGUGCCAGCAGCCGCGGUAAUACGUAGGUGGCAAGCGUUGUCCGGAUUUAUUGGGCGUAAAGGGUGCGUAGGCG